rnacentral:rRNA from 1 species
AUUGAACGCUGGCGGCAGGCUUAACACAUGCAAGUCGAACGAGUGGCGGACGGGUGAGUAAUGUGUGGGAAUCAAGCUUAUGGAGGGGGAUAAUUACGGGAAACUGUAGCUAAUACCGCGUAUCAUAGGAGGAGCCAAAGUGGGAUUAGGUAGGUGGUGAGGUAAAGGCUCACGAAGCAGACGGUGUCUAGCUGGUUGGAGAGGAUGACCGGCCAGACGUGGACUGAGACACGGCCCAGACUCCUACGUGAGGCAGCAGUGGGGAAUAUUGCGCGAGGGAGGCAACCUGACGCAGCCAUGCCGCGUGAGUGAAGAAGGCCUUCGGGUUGUAAAGUUCUUGCGGUAGCGAGGCGUUAACUACAGAAGAAGCAACGGCUAACUCCGUGCCAGCAGCCGCGGUAAUAC